rnacentral:sRNA from 1 species
GAACACACCAUUCUGGAAAAAUUAAGCCAGCCAGGUUCAGUGUGGGUGGAGUCUCCCACCAGGGAUCCCACCCUAGCACUCACCAGGGUUGAGGUGCUGGGGAAAAUGAAAAGCGUUGGUGUCUUUCUGACCCACCUAGGUUGUCUUAGUCUUUGCUCUCAGCAUCGGUGCACUUGUAAUAUACUUCAUAGAUUCGUCAAAGUGAGUAUUCAAAUACACUUUCUUGCCCUCGUUUCAUAAACAAUCAUGAGUCUUUACGUUGAUCCAUUUAUUUACCUUGACACCAACAUUUGCAAGACCUUCUGAGUGCAGAAGAUUUUGGAGGAAGCUAGGGCUGUACUGUACUGACUUUCUAAAUGGGAAAGAAAGUUCUCAGAAGGAAGGCUACUUUGAGUCCGCUGGUAUAGGAGGGUGAGGUAUAUGAGGUCAAGUCUUCUUGCUGGGUAUUACUUAUUUUUAAAGAGCUGUUUCCUGAUGAUGUAUUUGCACUGAAGAUGUCAAGUAGUUAAGAUGACUUGAUGGGAAUUUGCAACUUCUGGGAGGGUGACAGUUUCCCACAGAUGAGGGUCUGAGCCAUUCUUGCUAUGGUUGUAGGAUCCUUUUCUCAAUUGGGUUUCCAAUGCUUUGGUCUUACUGGAGGUCAGAUUAGAAAGCAUGGUGCUAUCCUUUCACCUGCCAAUCGGGUAUUCAGCUGAAGCAUUGCACGCUGGUGCUUCUUGACUUGUGAAGGUAAGGAGAUGGAUGGAGGAGUUCAUCAUGACCUCCAGAGGUGGAGGCCCUGGCCAUUUGAGGACUUCUAGAGUGGACACUCAUGCAGACUCCUUGGGUGCCAGCUGAAUGGACUGGUGCUCCAGAGUGAGCCUGAGUGACAGAUGAUAAAGACCCUGCAGAAGGAUGAAGAGGGCACAGACUAGAACUGCAACGUUGCAGCCAGUUCUGCCCUGAUUCCUGCAGGUGCCAACACUGAGGAAAUAAUUUGUUCCAACUAUACUAUUGCAAUCAUGAAGUUGACGGCAUCUGGGAAACAAGCUGGAGUCUAACUCAUUUUCUGUUGUGGAGUGAACUUGGCAACUCUGGUGACAAUGGCCUUGAGCUUGUUGCCCUUAUUGUCCACUGUGUGAGUGUUUUGAACUUUGAACUCUAUCCCUGGCAUGGUUGGUUACUAGACUUUGAUACUAAGAAACCUGCUUGGUGUGCCUGUUGGCUCAGACUCUGGUGUGCCUGAAUUCUGAGCUUAGUGCUCCUUUCCUGUGGCUUGGGAUGGUGGUAAUUUCAUGCACAGCUAAACUCAGAAUUUCUCAGAGCCAUCUGGUCACCGGCCAAGGAUUUUGUGCAUUUGGGUGGAGAAGCCAAAAUGUCAGUCAAGGAAAACAAAAAAAAAUCUCCUUUAAUAACCUGUCUCUGGAAGUCAGCCAAGUCUAAGCCUAUCAGAGGUCCUUCAGUCCACCCCACAUGCGAGGCUGGGCUGCCCUCACCCAUCUCAGAUGGAGAGUCCUUUAAACGCUGUCAGGAGACAAGAUUCCACAUGCUCCCUCCAUCAGCUCUCCCGAUCCAAGAAAGAGAAGAACUUGUUUAAGUUUGGAAGACUCCCAUUGGCAUGUCAUUGAAGGUAAGCCCCCUUUUAAAUAUUUACUCUUAAUGAUUCUGGACCCUAUUUGUAUUGAACUGAAGAUCCUCUAAAGCCCCUGGUCUGAUUUCUCCAAUCUCUCUCCAGGGGUGUUCUCACAUGUCGAGGGGUGCAGACCCUGCCAACUUCCAUGCUGAGACUCAGGAAAGAGGUUUGGGCUUGAAGCUUGUGUGUCCCAGAGAAAGAAAACCCUAAUGUGGAGGUGAGUGUGUUGAUGGGUUAGAAGUCCAGAUGCCU